GGCCCAGUAGCUAAACUGGCUUAGCACCUCCUUUGCAAGGAGAAGUAUGUGGGUUCGAGCCCCAUCUGGCCCA
rnacentral:tRNA from 5 species